UACGUAGGGGGCAAGCGUUGUCCGGAAUCAUUGGGCGUAAAGCGCGUGUAGGCGGUUCUGUAAGUCUGCUGUGAAAGUCCAGGGCUCAACCCUGGGAUGCCGGUGGAUACUGCAGGGCUAGAGUACGGAAGAGGCGAGUGGAAUUCCCGGUGUAGCGGUGAAAUGCGCAGAUAUCGGGAGGAACACCUAUUGCGAAGGCAGCUCGCUGGGCCAUUACUGACACUGAGAAGCGAAAGCAUGGGGAGCGAACAGG
rnacentral:rRNA from 1 species